GCCUGUGUGGCGGAAUUGGUAGACGCGCUGGACUCAAAAUCCAGUGGUAGCGAUAUCGUGUGGGUUCGAGUCCCACCACCGGCACCA
rnacentral:tRNA from 1 species